AUUGAACGCUGGCGGCAGGCCUAACACAUGCAAGUCGAACGAGUGGCGGACGGGUGAGUAAUGUCUGGGAAACUGCCUGAUGGAGGGGGAUAACUACUGGAAACGGUAGCUAAUACCGCAUACCAUCGGAUGUGCCCAGAUGGGAUUAGCUAGUAGGUGGGGUAAAGGCUCACCUAGGCGACGAUCCCUAGCUGGUCUGAGAGGAUGACCAGCCACUCUGGAACUGAGACACGGUCCAGACUCCGACGGGAGACAGCAGUGGGGAAUAUUGCACAGUGGGCACAAGCGUGAUGCAGCCAUGCGGCGUGUAUGAAGAAGGCCUUCGGUUUGUAAAGUAUUUUCAGCGGGGAGGCGUUACCCGCAGAAGAAGCCCCGGCUAACUCCGUGCCAGCAGCCGCGGUAAUUC
rnacentral:rRNA from 1 species